rnacentral:rRNA from 1 species
GUUUGAUCCUGGCGUCAGGAGUGAACGCUGGCGGCGUGCCUAACACAUGCAAGUCGAGCGAGAAAUCCUGAAUUGAUUCUUCGGAUGAUUUUAGGAUGGAAAGCGGCGGACGGGUGAGUAACGCGUAGGUAACCUGCCCCUGUACAAAGGGAUAGCCACUGGAAACGGUGAUUAAUACCUUAUGAUGCCUCUUUAUCACAUGGUUCGGAGGUUAAAGAUUUAUCGGUACAGGAUGGACCUGCGUCUGAUUAGCUUGUUGGUGGGGUAACGGGCUCACCAAGGCAACGAUCAGUAGCCGACCUGAGAGGGUGAUCGGCCACAUUGGAACUGAGACACGGUCCAAACUCCUACGGGAGGCAGCAGUGGGGAAUAUUGCACAAUGGAGGAAACUCUGAUGCAGCAACGCCGCGUGAACGAUGAAGGCUCUUGGGUCGUAAAGUUCUGUUCUGAGGGAAGAAGAAAGUGACGGUACCUCAGGAGAAAGCCCGGCUAACUACGUGCC